CCACUACAGGUUAAUGUAGUGUUGUGUCUAUAGCCUGUCCCUGCAGGCUCUGUGAUGUAAACUCUGCCUUUUCAUAGAAAAAGCAGUGUUUACAUUGCUGCCUAGUAACACCUCUAGUGUCAAGUCUCUCAGAUGGCCACUAAAGGGUCUUCCUACACUGUGUGCAGCACCUACAUUCAGCUUGUCCACGCUCUGCAUGGAGAAGCUGAACGCUUCCCAUAGAGAUAUAUUGAUUCAGUUCAUCCCUAUGAGGAGAGGCUGAUUGGAAGAGAACGUUGUUUUGCUGUGCAUGUGCCUUAGCAAACCAAUUGGGUUGUCUGAGAUCAUAAAGAUUGAGUCGGGUUCAGCCAUGGAAAGGGAGAAAAGGCAAGUUUAAAUAUAUAUUUUACUGCACAUGAGUGGGGCUAGUCACCCUAACAAACUACUGCAGCACUAUAGUGUUAGGAAUACAUGUUUGUAUUCCUAACAGUAUAGUGUUCCAUUGAUUCAUUAAAGGAACACUGUAGCUUGUGGAAUGCAAAACUGUAUUCCUAAUGCUAUAGUAAGCCUCUGUUCCUAACUUUGGAGUGGCAGAGAUCAUGAAGAUUGAUGAUAUCAGCCAUGGUGGCAGGGCCAGCCGCAUCAAGAUUGGCGUAGCGAUUGAGAAAAAGUUAGUAAAGCUACAUUUAAUCUCCAAUCUGAUGGGGCCGCGACCUAAAUAGGUAGUCCAUCACUAUAUUGUUCCUUUAAUGUUUCAACAGUUUUUGUAGCUAGUGACUAUGGUCAAUAAUUUGGUGAAUUAGUUUGUUUCAGUACUAAUUAUUACAAGUGUAGACAUUUUACAAGUCCAAAAAAAAAAAGAGGGAUUACUAAUCCAGAGAACAACAGGUUGCUUAACUGAGCCAGGGUCAGCAGAACCCAUAGAUAUAAUAUAUAUCAAGGAAGAAGCCUCAGGCACUCACUGUGUUAAGAGAUAAAGCAGUUUAUCAGACCAAGCUUGACAAAGAUCUCAGUGGAGGUCAAAACGUUGCUGUGCACAAAUUGGGCCAAUAAACUGCUUUAUCUCUAAACAGUGAGGUCCUGAGGCUUCUUCCUUGAUAUACAAGUGCAGACCUAUAACACUGUAAAAAGAACCCAAAACGCCUUUGCUACAAGAAUUUGCACUAAGGCCAAUUAUGUCCUAAGUAAACAGCAGAGAAAUGCUGUAGAGCACAUUUCAAAAUAUCAAGUCCCAAGAAAUCACCAAGGCUUAAAAAUUACUCACCAUUAGAAAGCUUCUUCUACUACAUGAUCUCUGGGAAUGGAUAGGGUAGCAGCACAUGACACUGGUUUUAACAGUUAAUCACAUAAUUACAUUUAUUGUGAUAAGCACCUUUUUUACGUUACCCUGCACUAUAGGUAUAAAGAGGAGGGAGGGAAGUAUUUGUGAUCAAUCUCCCCUCUAAAUGUGUCUAAGUAGAAUCUGUUUGUGGCAGAAUUGAAGUACUUCCAGUAAGGUUCCUGAGAUGGGUUAAGACUGGUGAAUGAUGGACAGAAUACUGCAGC